GACGAACGCUGGCGGCGUGCUUAACACAUGCAAGUCGAACGGAAAGGCCCUGCUUUUGUGGGGUGCUCGAGUCGCGAACGGGUGAGUAACACGUGAGUAACCUGCCCUUGACUUUGGGAUAACUUCAGGAAACUGGGGCUAAUACCGGAUAGGAGCUCCUGCUGCUUGGUGGGGGUUGGAAAGUUUCGGCGGUUGGGGAUGGACUCGCGGCUUAUCAGCUUGUUGGUGGGGUAGUGGCUUACCCAGGCUUUGACGGGUAGCCGGCCUGAGAGGGUGACCGGCCACAUUGGGACUGAGAUACGGCGCAGACUCCUACGGGAGGCAGCAGUGGGGAAUAUUGCACAAUGGGCGGAAGCCUGAUGCAGCAACGCCGCGUGCGGGAUGACGGCCUUCGGGUUGUAAACCGCUUUCGCCUGUGACGAAGCGUGAGUGACGGUAAUGGGUAAAGAAGCACCGGCUAACUACGUG
rnacentral:rRNA from 1 species